UCUUUUGCUGGCUUCAUCAGAGGUCUGCUCCCCUUAAAUGCAUUAGCCGGUGCCCUGCGUGGAGCCGUCUAUUGGUGUGAUAAUUAUCUACGCCGUGGACGUCCACUUUUAAUGGGAUGCGCUGCUUCUAACCGUCCAUUCACUUGGACAAUUAAUGACAAUUUGACCUCAAAUCAGGUAGGACUACCCGCUGAACUUAA
rnacentral:misc_RNA from 1 species